rnacentral:rRNA from 1 species
GAUGAACGCUAGCGACAGGCCUAACACAUGCAAGUCGAGGGGCAGCACGGUGUAGCAAUACACGGGUGGCGACCGGCGCACGGGUGAGUAACGCGUAUGCAACCUGCCUACUACAAGGGGAUAACCCGUUGAAAGACGGACUAAUACCCUAUAACACAGGGAAUCCGCAUGGAUAUAUUUGUUAAAGAUUUAUCGGUAGUAGAUGGGCAUGCGUUCCAUUAGCUUGUUGGCGAGGUAACGGCUCACCAAGGCAACGAUGGAUAGGGGAACUGAGAGGUUGAUCCCCCACACUGGAACUGAGACACGGUCCAGACUCCUACGGGAGGCAGCAGUGAGGAAUAUUGGUCAAUGGACGAGAGUCUGAACCAGCCAAGUCGCGUGAAGGAAGACGGCCCUACGGGUUGUAAACUUCUUUUGUAAGGGAAUAAAUAGUCUUACGCGCUAAGACGUUGCAGGUACCUUACGAAUAAGGAUCGGCUAACUCCGUGCCAGCAGCCGCGGUAAAAGUC